rnacentral:rRNA from 1 species
AUUGAACGCUGGCGGCAUGCCUUACACAUGCAAGUCGAACGGCAGCGCGGGAGCAAUCCUGGCGGCGAGUGGCGAACGGGUGAGUAAUAUAUCGGAACGUGCCCAGUAGUGGGGGAUAACUGCUCGAAAGAGCAGCUAAUACCGCAUGAGACCUGAGGGUGAAAGCGGGGGACUCGCAAGAGCCUCGCGCUACUGGAGCGGCCGAUAUCAGAUUAGCUAGUUGGUGGGGUAAAGCCUACCAAGGCAACGAUCUGUAGUUGGUCUGAGAGGACGACCAGCCACACUGGGACUGAGACACGGCCCAGACUCCUACGGGAGGCAGCAGUGGGGAAUUUUGGACAAUGGGCGCAAGCCUGAUCCAGCAAUGCCGCGUGCAGGAAGAAGG